GUGAAGAAUAAAAGUAAAAAUAGAAAGUACAACCCUAAAUACCUGAAAGAGGAGUUGCACCCUACCUAUAACCAGUGUGGGGUCUCUUAUGUCAGGUGUCCAGUGGUGGCUGGAAGCCUUUGAAAUGUUUCCAUCUUUUCCCCCACAAAACAAGGCAUCACUCUGGGGAACCAUUGGCAUUUUUCUAGAACAAGCACAAAAUAAAGCUCUCCAGCACUAAAUUGAUGACUUCCAUCAUUAAAGGCAGAGAAGAGACCAAAAGUACAGAAGUGUUAUUCAAAGUGACCUGCCACGUAGAGAAGCCAGGCACAAGCCAUUCUAUUGCCAGGACACUUCUAAAGCAGCCAGCCAUGCAGUGAGUAACAAGUCAGAGUGAACAAGUUAAACUAUAUCAGCAAAAUUAUUUUUUCUUUUAUCGGACAACAGUACUAGGGGAGGGGGGACAUGAAAUUAACAGCCAACAGUACGAAAAGCCGGCAGUUAUCGCGCGUGCCGGUAGAUAUUUGGCUUGAAGAUGCACAAAACCGCUGGUGAGCAGGGCCCGUCAGAUUCGGCAUAUGUGGCAGGCAGGCCCCCUUCUUGCUCUCAUCAGAGGCCUGGCUGCUUUGCCCUGCCCUAAGCCCACCUUGAGAACCCUUUUCCGGAUUUCCCGGCCUCCCCAGCUGCUGGGGUGGCCACGUGACCUAAUCUGACCAAUGACGUCUAGGCAGAAAGCAGCUGGCGGGUUUCUAAGUUUUUUUCUUUUCUUUUGAAAGAAGUCGACACAACCACCGUUCUUCCACCGUCUUCCUGCGGGAAAGCGGGUGUGAUGCUGCGGCGCCAUCCUGUCCGCUGAAAUGCAGAUGCAAUGGCAGGAGCUGGAGCAGCCACCUCAAACCAGACGGUGAAGCCACCUGCAAGUUGAGAAAGGCUGGUAAUAAAAUAAAAGCAACACCUGUCAGCAUUGAUUACAUUACGCUCAGAUUGUUACAUGACAGAGAAGUAAACAUCUAUCUUAUUUAUAUCACAGUAUUUUAGCCUCUGUUACGCCAGACAGACCUGGACUCUCAGGAACGCACUUUUACGUAUUAAAGCAAUUGUAGUUGGGUUUCCCACCUUUGCAACCUGCUCCAUACACACGUGUCGGAAAUGUGCUCUGCAAUUUAUUUGGGUCUUGUCCAUCCGUCAACACUGAUGCUGCAAGGGAGGACAUUUUGGGGGUAAGUGGAUGAUUACUUUAUGAGCCACUAGGUAGACUGGAAAAGCACACCGGGAACUGGACCAACGGCGGGCCUGCCAUGUGGGCCGCCAGGAAGGGCAGCGCUACGUGGCGGAGGCGCCUGCUCCAGAAUGCCAGCUCUCCGCGCUGGUUCGCAGCGAGCAGCUGCGGGCAACAAUGUGCCUCCGGAUCUUCAUUCAGCGCCGAGAGAAAAUGAGAAAAUGACAAUUAAACCAAGGCCACCAAGUGGACGUCUUUUUAGCCAGCUGUCAGAAGAGAUGGGCAGAACAAAACUCUGCUUUUCCAACCCGAGCGGCGCGCACCGUUGAAUGAAGGUAUGCACCAACUUCUCUGAAAUCAGGGACAGGAUGAAAAGUCUUUCCCUAUGACAUGAUAAUGCCAUCAAAUACCAUUGCCUUGGAUUUUAAGAAACAUGACUUGACAAUGUGGACAGGACCUUGAAUCAUCUGAUUCUGCCAUCUCGGAGCUGAAAUACAAUUUUUAUAUUUGAUGAAAAGAUACCAGGAUUUUAUAAAACCAAACUGUGGAGCAAACUUCUUAAUCCCUGAGAGCCUGCCUGCGUCCCAGCACUUGAUGUUUUUCUACACUGCUCAGGGGGAGAAACCGAUGACACAGCAAUGAGCAUAUUAAAAACCAGAUCCAAGCGCUGCUGCCAAACAAGAAGGAGUCCUCUGCAGUGUGAAAUGCAACCAAAGUAGUGUCCCGGCUGCUGGUCCCAAUGACGUUCCGGCUCUCAAGUGUGCUAUGAAUGACAUCGCUUCUUCUGACAGGCACUGGAAUGAGGCUUCCGUGAGAAAUAGUUUCUUGCUCACCUCUGGGACCAUGUCGGACCCAAAGCCCAGAACAGCCCAGUUGCCAGCAGGCCCUCGCGGACACCAUCUCUGACCACCUGCAGCCUCGUGAUGGGCUCGGGGAGAUGCACAGUACAACGAAAGCAGCUGCCUGGAGGAGAAACACGACCAGACUAGCUGGGCCCUGAACCAGACGGGACGGGCCAUUCGUCCACUCAGCAAAUAAUGAUUGAGGCCCUGCCACGUGCUGUGAACACAGGGCCCAGAGGCACAAUGGAGACCAAAGGAAAAGAAGGAUUGCAAACAGAACCGUCACUCUCAGUGACACAGCCUUUUUUGAAAAUUGUGAUAAAAUAUACACAAUAUAAAAUGUACUACUUUAAUCA